AUUGAACGCUGGCGGCAGGCCUAUCACAUGCAAGUCGAACGGUAACAGGAAGAAGCUUGCUUCUUUGCUGACGAGUGGCGGACGGGUGAGUAAUGUCUGGGAAACUGCCUGAUGGAGGGGGAUAACUACUGGAAACGGUAGCUAAUACCGCAUAAUGUCGCAAGACCAAAGAGGGGGACCUUCGGGCCUCUUGCCAUCGGAUGUGCCCAGAUGGGAUUAGCUAGUAGGUGGGGUAACGGCUCACCUAGGCGACGAUCCCUAGCUGGUCUGAGAGGAUGACCAGCCACACUGGAACUGAGACACGGUCCAGACUCCUACGGGAGGCAGCAGUGGGGAAUAUUGCACAAUGGGCGCAAGCCUGAUGCAGCUAUGCCGCGUGUAUGAAGAAGGCCUUCGGGUUGUAAAGUACUUUCAGCGGGGAGGAAGGGAGUAAAGUUAAUACCUUUGCUCAUUGACGUUACCCGCAGAAGAAGCACCGGCUAACUCCGUG
rnacentral:rRNA from 1 species